rnacentral:rRNA from 1 species
GAAUCUUGGACAAUGGGGGAAACCCUGAUCCAGCCAUGCCGCGUGAACGAUGAAGGCCUCAGGGUUGUAAAGUUCUCUCAGCGGGGAAGAUGAUGACGGUACCCGCAGAAGAAGCCCCGGCCAACUCCGUGCCAGCAGCCGCGGUAAUACGGAGGGGGCUAGCGUUGUUCGGAAUUACUGGGCGUAAAGCGCACGUAGGCGGAUGUUUAAGUCGGGGGUGAAAUCCCGGGGCUCAACCCCGGAACUGCCUUCGAUACUGGAUGUCUGGAGUCCGAGAGAGGUGAGUGGAAUUCCGAGUGUAGAGGUGAAAUUCGUAGAUAUUCGGAGGAACACCAGUGGCGAAGGCGGCUCACUGGCUCGGUACUGACGCUGAGGUGCGAAAGCGUGGGGAGCAAACAGG